rnacentral:rRNA from 1 species
AUCCACAGCCGUACCACCCUGGAUGUGCCUAGUCUCUCUGGUCUCAGAAGCUAAGCAGGGGUGGGCCUGGUUAGUACUUGCAUGGGGGAGAAGAGUUAGUAGGUAGUUA